rnacentral:rRNA from 1 species
UGGGGAAUAUUGGACAAUGGGCGAAAGCCUGAUCCAGCCAUGCCGCGUGUGUGAAGAAGGUCUUCGGAUUGUAAAGCACUUUAAGUUGGGAGGAAGGGCAUUAACCUAAUACGUUAGUGUUUUGACGUUACCGACAGAAUAAGCACCGGCUAACUCUGUGCCAGCAGCCGCGGUAAUACAGAGGGUGCAAGCGUUAAUCGAAAUUACUGGGCGUAAAGCGCGCGUAGGUGGUUUGUUAAGUUGGAUGUGAAAUCCCCGGGCUCAACCUGGGAACUGCAUUCAAAACUGACUGACUAGAGUAUGGUAGAGGGUGGUGGAAUUUCCUGUGUAGCGGUGAAAUGCGUAGAUAUAGGAAGGAACACCAGUGGCGAAGGCGACCACCUGGACUAAUACUGACACUGAGGUGCGAAAGCGUGGGGAGCAAACA